rnacentral:rRNA from 1 species
CANCGCUGCUUACCAUGCAGUCGACGAUGAACUGGAGCUUGCUCCAGGGAUUAGUGGCGAACGGGUGAGUAACACGUGAGUAACCUGCCCUUGACUCUGGGAUAAGCGCUGGAAACGGCGUCUAAUACCGGAUACGAGCUUCAGCCGCAUGGCUAGGAGUUGGAAAGAAUUUCGGUCAAGGAUGGACUCGCGGCCUAUCAGCUAGUUGGUGAGGUAAUGGCUCACCAAGGCGACGACGGGUAGCCGGCCUGAGAGGGUGACCGGCCACACUGGGACUGAGACACGGCCCAGACUCCUACGGGAGGCAGCAGUGGGGAAUAUUGCACAAUGGGCGCAAGCCUGAUGCAGCAACGCCGCGUGAGGGAUGACGGCCUUCGGGUUGUAAACCUCUUUUAGUAGGGAAGAAGCGAAAGUGACGGUACCUGCAGAAAAAGCACCGGCUAACUACGUGCCAGCAGCCGCGGUAAUACGUAGGGUGCAAGCGUUGUCCGGAAUUAUUGGGCGUAAAGAGCUCGUAGGCGGUUUGUCGCGUCUGCUGUGAAAUCUGGGGGCUCAACCCCCAGCCUGCAGUGGGUACGGGCAGACUAGAGUGCGGUAGGGGAGAUUGGAAUUCCUGGUGUAGCGGUGGAAUGCGCAGAUAUCAGGAGGAACACCGAUGGCGAAGGCAGAUCUCUGGGCCGUAACUGACGCUGAGGAGCGAAAGCAUGGGGAGCGAACAGGAUUAGAUACCCUGGUAGUCCAUGCCGUAAACGUUGGGAACUAGAUGUGGGGGCCAUUCCACGGUCUCCGUGUCGCAGCUAACGCAUUAAGUUCCCCGCCUGGGGAGUACGGCCGCAAGGCUAAAACUCAAAGGAAUUGACGGGGGCCCGCACAAGCGGCGGAGCAUGCGGAUUAAUUCGAUGCAACGCGAAGAACCUUACCAAGGCUUGACAUAUACCGGAAACGUCCAGAGAUGGUCGCCCCGCAAAGGUCGGUAUACAGGUGGUGCAUGGGUUGUCGUCAGCUCGUGUCGUGAGAUGUUGGGUUAAGUCCCGCAACGAGCGCAACCCUCGUUCUAUGUUGCCAGCACGUAAUGGUGGGAACUCAUAGGAGACUGCCCGGGGUCAACUCGGAGGAAUGUGGGGAUGACGUCAAAUCAUCAUGCCCCUUAUGUCUUGGGCUUCACGCAUGCUACAUUGNCGNNACCAANGGNCUGCGAUACGUAAAGGUGGAGCGAAUCCCAAAAAAGGCCGGGNUC